rnacentral:rRNA from 1 species
GACCUGGCGGCGGCUUACCAUGCGAGUCGAGCGAGACCUUCGGGUCUAGCGGCGGACAGGUGAGUAACGCGUGGGAACGUGCCCUUCUCUACGGAAUAGCCCCGGGAAACUGGGAGUAAUACCGUAUACGCCCUUUGGGGGAAAGAUUUAUCGGAGAAGGAUCGGCCCGCGUUGGAUUAGGUAGUUGGUGAGGUAACGGCUCACCAAGCCGACGAUCCAUAGCUGGUUUGAGAGGAUGAUCAGCCACACUGGGACUGAGACACGGCCCAGACUCCUACGGGAGGCAGCAGUGGGGAAUCUUAGACAAUGGGGGCAACCCUGAUCUAGCCAUGCCGCGUGAGUGAUGAAGGCCUUAGGGUUGUAAAGCUCUUUCAGCUGGGAAGAUAAUGACGGUACCAGCAGAAGAAGCCCCGGCUAACUCCGUGCCAGCAGCCGCGGUAAU